CUGAGCACAUUAUAGAUCAUUAUUUUAGUAUAAAUUUGAUUCAUUCCUAGGUAGAGUCAAAAUGUUUAAAUUUCUUUCAUUUUCUUUUAAACGUAGUAUGGCAUGAGAAGUGAGGGGAUUUCUUUAAUAAAAACACAGGGCACAAAGAGAAACUGUUCUUUCAGGUGUCAGAACUCACGUUUGGAAAUUUUGUCACAUUAUUUUACACCAGAGCAAGGAGACAUUUUCAUUAAAACCCUUAAACUAAAACAUUCUGACAGCUGAUAUUGUAUGUUGAAAGCUUGUCUUUGCUUUCCUUGGCUUAUUACUGCUUUUCUUAAACAGGGUGGAGGGAGGAAGAACAUUUGUGAUAUGUACCCACUGACUUACCCUCGACAGUGCAAGUGCUUCCUAGCUAAGAAAUCUUUCUGUUUCAAUAAAGACUUCAGGUGCUAAUCAAGGAAAUGCAGAAUUCUGAUAUUUGCCAAGGCCAAGGUAUGGCUCAACCAGGUGAUGUCAUCCUACACUUCUGAGGCUCCAUCCACCAUCCAGCUGUCUCUGAUACUGCAGAUGUCUCCCUUUGUGCUCCCUAAGCACCUAUAUGCAGCACAGAAGAGCUGUGAGACCUAGAAAGGAAGAGUGGGAGAAGAGUCCUGCAAAGCAGUAUUAUUUCCCUACCAUAUGGACCGCUUUCCACAAACUGUGCUGACAAGUUGCUCUGCAGGAAAGGAUUGUGCAACACUCGAGGACUACGAGUCUUUGGGAAGAGGCAGAAAACAUGCAUUCAGAACUCCAGAAAGGGAAGCAGUAAGAGAAAUUGCCUAAAUUAUGGAUAAUCUGCUGCAUAAAUCUGUCUUCUCCUGUUUUAUAAAGCUUCCUAUCCAUGCAAUUUGGAAACUUGUAUCGACAGUGAAAGCCAAGAGGAUUCAAGAAAAGAUGUUGGCAGGGCUGAUACCACAUAGUAACACUUGCUGCUUUGACUCUACAAACACAGAGUGCAGUUUUGCUCUGGAGGCUGCCCUGCAUGGUGUUGAAAAUAAGCUCUAUUUCUGAGGAUCACAUUCUUUUAUUUAGCAGGGUAAGUCCUUGGGAUGGCUUGCUUAAUACUGACUGAAUGUCAUUUAAUAAAUGCUAUCAGUAGAUAAAUGCUUUUUUCUUU
rnacentral:lncRNA from 1 species